GCGGCCGCCCCGCCGGCCCCGCAGGCCGAAAACGAGUCUGAAAGAGCCGCACGGGAACAAAAAGACAAGAAACUGAAGCCACAAAUGGUGUUUAAGCUCAGGGCUGGGAGAGGCAGAGCCUCCACACCACGUUAAAUGGGAGUGCUCCGGGCUGCCGAGCGGGAAAGGCCCCAGGCCUUAAAAUGCUGCUCACAAGAGGCUGGCAAACGAUAAAUGUCUUCAUAUCAUCGUGUGAGGAGAGACUGCGGGAGCUGGGCCUGACGGGACCUCACAUAAACCAGGCAGGAGCGGUGUCACCAAAAUGGAAUAAUUUCCCACCAGAACUCAUACUGAAACCCUAAUUAAUAUUGAAAAGUCUGUGCUGUGCCGUGUCUUCACAUCCCUGGAAUUUGGGUAAGGAAGCUGGAUCAGUCAGAACAGUUUAAAGCACGUUUACACACAGCCAGUGCUUUCACCACACCUAUGCUUUUGUAAAAACACAACUGUUGCAAUACUUCCUGUUUCUGUUCCAGUGACUUCAGAACAUCUCACUCUGCAGUGAGGAGUUUGAUUGAUGCCCAGUUGCACUGCUGUUGUGGGGAGGGAUGCUGAGGGUUGGAAAUGUUUACAGAGGGGGGUUCUUCCAGGUGGGCUGCCUGGGCUUUGGAUUUUUGUAAACCUCACUGGACAAAUCAGUUUUGCUGCACUUUAAAACCUGCCAGAGGAAUCCCUCAUUCCUGUGUGCAACAAGGUGGUUUAUUCUGCUGUCCUCAUAUAAUCCUGUGCUGGAAGCUGCUGCACAGGCAUUAUUUUUAUUUUUUAAAUGUCUUUUUCAUUUUGAAUCCUAUUUUUUCACGCAGAUCCAUGAACUACCAUGGUUUGUACUGUUCAGUGGAUGAAUGUGCAAAUCACCAGAAUUAAGUGGACUUACCAUAUAUAAAUUUAUCUCUUUCUAUACACUGCAAAAAUAUUGUUUAAAACGAAAAGUUGAGCUGAAAACACCUGUGAAUACUUGAAGAUCUGGGGUGGAUAAUCAAUAAAACCAAUUUUAAUGUUUUUUUGUUAGUCCACUUUGAAGUUACAGUUCUGGCCCUGGGUUAGAGCUACAGAAAGCCUCUUGUAGAAAGGUUGCUCCACAGUUCUCCAUUGCAAAAUUUCUUGCACCUUUUUCUCAAUCAGCUGACAUUAACCCCUUUGUAGGGAGCAUCCUGAGUUAGGUGAAGCUUUGGGCAGUUUCACUUCUUAAAGUAAUUCAUUUUUGCAUGCAAAUACCAUUGUUAUAAUCAAAAUUUACAUGUUGUUAUUGUGUGAUUCUUAUGGUAAAAUGUUCCUGGGCUCUGACAGAAUAACUGUCACCAAACAGGUAUAAACUGUUUAUAAUUUUC